rnacentral:lncRNA from 1 species
GGUAAAUCAUGCUGUGUUUAUUGUACGGAGAGAGAAACUCUUCAGAAAUAACACCAAUACAAGAUAUCAGGUGUUUAAAUAUGGACAUAUUGGUCCCAUAGCAUUCACCAGCAACAUGAACAUGUUCAGGACAAUCAGGAAGGUAGAGGACAUGAGCAUGUUCAGGACAAUCAGGAAAAUAAAGGACAUGAGCAUGUUCAGGACAAUCAGGAAGAUAAAGGACAUGAGCAUGUUCAGGACAAUCAGGAAGGUAGAGGACAUGAACAUGUUCAGGACAAUCAGGAAGGUAGAGGACAUGUUCAGGACAAUCAGGAAGGUAGAGGACAUGAGCAUGUUCAGGACAAUCAGGAAGAUAGGACAUGUUCAGGACAAUCAGGAAGGUAGAGGACAUGAGCAUGUUCAGGACAAUCAGGAAGGUAGAGGACAUGAGCAUGUUCAGGACAAUCAGGAAGAUAGGACAUGUUCAGGACAAUCAGGAAGGUAGAGGACAUGAACAUGUUCAGGACAAUCAGGAAGGUAGAGGACAUGUUCAGGACAAUCAGGAAGGUAGAGGAGAUGUUCAGGACAAUCAGGAAGGUAGAGGAGAUGUUCAGGACAAUCAGGAAGGGAGAGGACAUGUUCAGGACAAUCAGGAAGGUAGAGGACAUGAACAUGUUCAGGACAAUCAGGAAGGUAGAGGACAUGAACAUGUUCAGGACAAUCAGGAAGGUAGAGGACAUGUUCAGGACAAUCAGGAAGGUAGAGGACAUGAACAUGUUCAGGACAAUCAGGAAGGUAGAGGACAUGAACAUGUUCAGGCCAAUCAGGAAGAUAGAGGACAUGAACAUGUUCAGGACAAUCAGGAAGGUUGAGGACAUGUUCAGGACAAUCAGGAAGGUAGAGGCUAGAAACAUUUCAAUCAAACAGCCCAGAAACACAAUAUUACACAUUCAGUGUGAAAGUUAGACAUUGUAUAACAUGUAGAACAUUAAAUAAUAAAUAUAGUGUCAAAGCUUUUUACCCUCUAAACUGGACUUGAUGGGAAUGAAGACAGGAGAUAUGAGGGGGGUGAUACUGAUGGGAGAUAUGGGGGGGGUGAUACUGAUGGGAGAUAUGGGGGGGGGUGAUACUGAUGGGAGAUAUGAGGGGGGGG